rnacentral:lncRNA from 1 species
CCAACACCAGUUGUCAGUGGUGGGGAACACACACAAACACACACACAUUUGAGGCUCUGCUGAAACUGUAAGGUAUUACUCAGACACUCAACUAUCAAUCUACAUCUUAUAAUGAAAAUGGCUGUAUGCUAAUGAAGUUCUUAAGAUACAGGAAAUAUAGAAAUGUGUUGAAGUAAAGAUAUCACAUCAAAGGAGAAGAGAGAAAUAGUGAAACUACAGAGAGAAGGGGAUGCAGCAAUUGUAAUUUUUGAAAAGCUAAAUAGAGAUCGCAGAACAAUAGAAAAAAAAAAA